rnacentral:misc_RNA from 1 species
UGGUUCUGGCAUCGAUGAAGAACGCAGCGAAAUGCGAUAAGUAAUGCGAAUUGCAGAAUUCCAGUGAGUCAUCGAAUCUUUGAACGCACAUUGCGCCCUUUGGCAUUCCGAAGGGCAUGCCUGUUCGAGCGUCAUUAUCACCCCUCAAGCUCCCGUGCUUGAUGUUGGCGGCAUCCUUCGCCGGAUCCGCCCAAAGACAAUGACGGCGGCCUGUGGUCCCCCCGGUGCACUGAGCUUCUCAAGCACGUGCCGGACGAGGGUGCCCGGGCGCCGGUCCUUUCACCAUUUUAUCAAGGUUGACCUCGGAUCAGGUAGGAAUACGCGCUGA